CAAUCAAGGUAAGGAGUCGAUUGAUUUUAUUUUCACUUAACAAAGAAAUUGGGUUCCUGCUCAGGAAUACAAAGAAAAUGUCGUUGUUAUGGUGCUGCCUUGGAUUGUUAGUGACGCUAACAGUACAUUGUACUGAAGCUGAAGUCCGCCGUUGGUGUUACUAUACAAACUGGGCUCAAUACAGAACUGGACUGGCACAAUUUGUACCAGAAGAUAUUGAUGCAAGCUUAUGUACACAUAUAUCAUAUGCGUUCGCUGCUCUUAAGAAUGGGCAGUUAGCAGAGUUUGAAUGGAAUGACAGUGA